UAGUCCACGCUGUAAACGAUGAGUGCAAGGUGUUGGGGGUCAAACCUCGGUGCCGCCGUUAACACAGUAAGCACUCCGCCUGGGGAGUACGUACGCAAGUAUGAAACUCAAAGGAAUUGACGGGGACCCGCACAAGUAGCGGAGCAUGUGGUUUAAUUCGAUGCAACGCGAAAAACCUUACCAGGGCUUGACAUAAAAGUGACGAGGGAUAGAGAUAUUCCUCUUCUCUUCGGAGACAGUUUUUAC
rnacentral:rRNA from 1 species